AUCCAGCUGAAGAGUCCCAAAUAAGACGAAAUGCACAUCCUGGAU
rnacentral:hammerhead_ribozyme from 1 species